rnacentral:rRNA from 1 species
GACGAACGCUGGCGGCGUGCCUAAUACAUGCAAGUAGAACGCUGAAGGAGGAGCUUGCUUCUCUGGAUGAGUUGCGAACGGGUGAGUAACGCGUAGGUAACCUGCCUGGUAGCGGGGGAUAACUAUUGGAAACGAUAGCUAAUACCGCAUAAGAGUAGAUGUUGCAUGACAUUUGCUUAAAAGGUGCAAUUGCAUCACUACCAGAUGGACCUGCGUUGUAUUAGCUAGUUGGUGAGGUAACGGCUCACCAAGGCAACGAUACAUAGCCGACCUGAGAGGGUGAUCGGCCACACUGGGACUGAGACACGGCCCAGACUCCUACGGGAGGCAGCAGUAGGGAAUCUUCGGCAAUGGACGGAAGUCUGACCGAGCAACGCCGCGUGAGUGAAGAAGGUUUUCGGAUCGUAAAGCUCUGUUGUAAGAGAAGAACGAGUGUGAGAGUGGAAAGUUCACACUGUGACG